rnacentral:rRNA from 1 species
CCUACGGGAGGCAGCAGUGGGGAAUAUUGGGCAAUGGACGCAAGUCUGACCCAGCAACGCCGCGUGAAGGAAGAAGGCUUUCGGGUUGUAAACUUCUUUUAAGGGGGAAGAGCAGAAGGCGGUACCCCUUGAAUAAGCCACGUCUAACGACGUGCCAGGAGCCGCGGUUAUACGUAGGUGGCAAGCGUUACCCGGAUUUACUGGGUGUAAAGGGCGUGCAGACGGUAGGACAAGUCAGAUGUGAAAGCCGCGGGCGCAACCCGUGGACUGCAUUUGAAACUGUUUCGCUGGAGUGUAGGAGAGGUAAGUGGAAUUCCUAGUGGAGCGGUGAAAUGCGUAGAGAUGAGGAGGAACACCAGUGGCGAAGGCGGAUUACUGGACUGUAACGGACGUUGAGGCGCGAAAGCGUGGGGAGCAAACAGGAUUAGAUACCCGAGUAGGC